CUCCCUAACAAGACCAGAGCAAGGCGGCAUAGGCAGAGUCUAACAGUCCGAGCAUCGCUCCGCCGCGCCAUUCUCCGUCUUCCUCUCACCAAGUCGCCGAGGUUCUUUGUCAGUUGGAAUACUGAACCCAAGCCGAGCUUUAUCUGCCGCACCAUCUCCAUUGCAAGCAAAGCCAUUUGAGUUUCAAAGUCGCCCUGCUGUGCUUUAUCGAACAACCAUAAGAUGAUCACAAGCACGGGGGGAAGCUUUUUUUUCCAGAGAAGUGCAGUGGGAGCGCGGAAGAAAAGAGCCGCGGCAGCACCAGCAGCUAGGAUUUCCUAUGACCUGAAGGUCCCACCCCCUGCAAGCUGUCCUAGUGGCAGAUUCCUUCACCACUAAGUUUGAUCCCAUAACCCUCGAAUGCCCCAAGGUAGUAUUGCCUUGGGUGAAUGUGCCGAUGAUAGAGUACACUUUGGCAUGGCUUAAAUUUGAAGAAGUGAAGGAGGACGGUUCCAUUGACAUUUGCUACAAGAAGUGCUAAGUCUUUUCACCGAUAACUUUGACUAUCAACGCCUUCGUCAACAUUUUGUGAAGGGAUUGCUCGAGAAUGAUAUCAUGGGUUCCAAAAUAUACACUCACAAAAUUCGCUCACGUUUUGCGGCUAGAGUUGAUAACUAUCAAGCUUAUGUUACCAUCAGCAAAGACAUAAUUCAGUGACAAUUGUUCCAGAUGUGCUGCGUUUCAAAAAUUAUGCGGCUAAACUAGAGCGAGAGGGAACGUAUCGAGUAUUUGGUACGGAUCACAAAUUACAAUUGGCAUGAGCCUUAUAUGGUUUCCUAUAUAAAUGACUUUUGAAGGGAUAUUCCACUACAUGUUUCUUUAAUAAACGGAGGAAAAAUCAUCUCCCAUUGUUCAACUAAAAGUAUCUUACUUCAAGUCUAACUUGAUAGAGGGACAUUAUGCCACUGGGCUAGUGAACACCAAUGUUGAUUUACUAACGAUGAUUUUCAAAUUUGAUGGAAUCAAUGAAUGUAUAUGCUCCAUCACU